UGCCCAGUGGCUACCAGCCGGCGCCGCGUACUGGGGAGGGUGCAGGAGGCAGGCUCCUGCACCGCCCUGUGAUUGGGGCCCGCUGGGCCCCGCCUGCCGGCGUGUCCCCCGGGAGAUGUGUGCUGCCAGGGGCGCGCUGUCACCUGUGGUGCCGCGGGCUCUCCGCCGCGCCCUGGCGCCCAGGUUCAAAGUCAUCUUUACGCGCAGAGUUCAAGGAAACCUUUACUCGUGGAGCUUCAAGAAACUCUCACGCGCGGGUUCUAAGGCCACCUUUCCGCGCGCGAUUCCUUUCCCCCACCUCCCCUCAAGGUUUAAGUUACAGAGACCGAGCCAGGAUCAGCCGGUUAAGGUCGGCGGUUGUCUUGGCAGCUUUGGCAACAACGCACCGGUUCCUGUGCAGAUGGACUCAAUCUUUGCUUCUAAGUCUUAGAAUUGAACCUCAAUUCCUCAAAUGGACUGAGGGGAUUGAAGGGGCUGGGGAGGGUGGGAAACUAAAAUUCAUAGCCCCCAACUUCAGGUUUCUGGCAGGCAAGACGUGAGAUGAGAUGAGCAGUAUAUCUCCGGAGACGCUGAGAAGGAGAGAAAAUAAUUCCAAAGGAAGAACUUAACCUUGUUCUUCUCCAAGAUUUGGGGCAUAGGACCUUGCCUUCCGACGUCCAUAUCCUACAUCAAAGUGCUGAACGUCAUGGGUGUCUAGUUCAAGGACUUGGACUAGAUGGAUCUGUGAAUACGGUAUCUGUCUCCAAUGUUGGUGGGAUAAAGGAAAAUCAGGAGAAGAGGAGGAAAAGGUUUAGGAAACCAGAAGAUGCGAAUGGAAAAAAGGGAAAGUAGUUUUCUUAGGAGACUUUCAAAAUUUUCCUUGACCCUUGUUUCUUCUAGGAUUUUAAUUACUUCCAGGUGAGGAAUACUCUUUCCCUUUUCUAAAGAAGACUGAGUUGGAGGUCAACAACUGAAGAAGGGGAAGACUUGUGGAGUUUGGGCAAUGUUGCAUCUUCGAGCUCGAUUCUAUUUUUAUUUGUCAACAAAAAGAAAUACUAGACCUGUUGUCCUGUUGCAUUCAAGUGAGUAAAAAUAUAUUUUUUGAAAGAUUGAGAUUGUCUAGACCUAAGAAUAUUAAGGUGGUCCUUGACCUAUGAUACAUAGGUAUACUAUUAAUAUAUGAUUAUAAGAUGAAUAAUGAAGUCUUUCACUUGUGCAGCACUUAAUUAUGUGCUGAGCCUUUGCUUAUAACUUUACUUAUGUUAACUUUUUAAUUCUCAGAAUAACCUCUUAGGUACGUAACAUUACCCUCAUUUUACACACGAGAAAACAAGACACAGAGUGGUUGGUAGACUUGCCUUAGUUCACACAGCAGAUUAAGUGGCUGAGUCAUACAGUCUGGCUCCAAAAUCUGGGCAGCCUCCACAUUGCUAUCUUUAUUAAAGCUAUGGAAGAAGGGGGUCGCUAAGAGAACACUAACAUCUGGAGUUCUAAAAAUAAGACCACUCUCUUUAAGAUCAAUUAUUUGCUUAUUUAAUAUUUUUGUGUUUCUGGGGAUCAAACCCAGGGCCUCAUACAGGCUAGGCAAGUGCUCUACCACUGACAUACACCCCUAGCCCUAAGAUCACUAAUUCUAAAAGAGUGCAAACAGAGAAGGGAUUGAAUGUUAUUUCCCUGGUGACUUUGGAGGAGGAGGGCUUACAGAGCUGAUGACCCAGGGGGUGCUAUACAGAUUUGGGAAUUAGGCUUCCUGGGUUUGGAUCAGCUUGAGUGAGGCCCUCAGCUUUUUAAAGUUUCAGAUUCAUCUUUUGUAAAAGGGCAUCCACUUUGUAUGUGCCUUAAAAUCAAGGGUGAUAAUAAAUGUAAAGUGCUCAGCACGUGCUUGCCACAUUAUAGGAGUCCAUAAAGAUCAGCCCUGCUACAAGUCUGAACCUCCUGAAGGUUGCAAGCUCCCAUGGAAAGAGCUGCCCAUUGACCAGUGGGUCCCCCAGCGCUCCCUAUGAAACGAUGUGCUUAAAAUUGUUUCAAUAAAGAUGACUGGAUGGAUGGAUUGGAGAAGAUGGAUGGAAAAACUUGCGGGAAAGAAAAGUCAGAAGAACAAAGAGGAAUGGAGCAGAUGAUGAAAUCGUGAUAAUCAAGCGGACUAUGAGCUGCCUCUCAUUGCCUCGCUCCUUGUUAACCUCACUCUACAAAGAAGGAAACAAGGCUCGGAGAGGCUAACUGGUAACUCACUCGAAUUCAUCUAUAGCUAUGAACACAAAAUUUCCAUGUGGACUCAGUCAAGUGACUUUAGAGUUCACGUUCCUUAUCUCUGCUUUUGCCGCUUCAUAGCCUGGCGUGAAGAAUGGGGUAAGGAAAGAGGCGUAUUCUUAGAUGAUUGAUUGAGGAUGUCGUGUUAUCUAUGAUUUGUUCUAAAAUUAUUCACUUUAGGCAGAGAAAUGUGUGUGCGUGUGUGUGUGUGUGUGUGUGUGUUUAGAGGUAGUUAGUAAUUAUUUGAAUACCAUAACCAAUAAUUCAUAUCAUCACCAUGGUAAAUUAACAUUACAAACUUCCAAACUUUGGGGCCACCAUAUCAAGCACCACCUUCUAAAUCUAUGCCUGGAGAGUUCUCCUUAGCACAUGAGACAGAAAUACUUAUUCACUGUGAAGCCAGUUUUAUUCAAACUAAGUGGAUUGCUAGACACACAGCACUGUAGCUCCAGCCCUGCCCCGAAGAAGAACAAGAGUGAGGAAGUCAGUGUCCCAGGGGGUCCUGGACCUAGAACACUGCUGUGUGCUAUGUCCACGUGACUAAUCCAAGAAGACUGCUUUCUGAUCUAAGAAAAAGAAGUGGUGAUGGAGGAAGAGAGCAACAAAUCGCAAGAGAAUGGCUUGAAACAGUUUCAAGAAUGGAGAAUAAGUGGGAAAAUCUUUCCCCACAUGAUUUAGGCAACCCUGACCCUGAACCUAGUACUUCCGCUGCUUGACAAUGUGUUCUUGGACACCUGAGUGCAUCUCUCCUGGCUUCCAAUACAGUCUGUUCCAUGAGCAGGGCCCCUUGAUGUUCAUCUUUCAAAAAGAGAAACUGAUAUGACCAUGCCUACCUAUCCCAAGGAAAUCCUGCAGGAAGCCUGCUUUCCCAUCCCCCAGGAGCAUGAAUUGAGAAUUAAACACCAACAGAACUUGGAUUUCAGUUAGUCUUUAAUAUAAUUCCAUGUCUUUAACAGUAAACAAAGAUGUUAAGUACAAAAACUCAAUACAUGUUAUCAUUCAGUAGUUCUGAACACUCACAGUGGUCACAAUGUGGGAACUGAGGUCACUUACAUUUUAAGGAAAUAGCACUCACCCUGUUUCUGUGGACUCACUUUCUGCAGUUGGAAGGCAAAGGUGAGGCUUAUUGUGCAAAGUGUCUUCAAUUUAUGGGAAAGCAGCUUUCUUCUUUCUUGCUGGCAUUUAAAAGAACUAUUCAUUUUCCUUUUAUGUUAAAAGUGCUAUAAGAACUGAAGGGGCCUCUCCUUACUGAAAUAAAAUUAACUAUAUAUGUCACACAUUUAUGAGUCAACAUUGCUGGUUAAAUACCCUCUGAAUUAGCAAUUCAUAGAAAAUUAAUAGGAGAAAUUGUCACACUCGCACACCAAAUAUACGAUUUAGAUUUCACAGUACAAGGCUCUGUGGUACAAAGUGCCUAUAAGCAGCUUUCCAUCAUGCACUGCAGCCACAG